CAGCAGCCGCGGUAAAACGGAGGGUGCAAGCGUUAAUCGGAAUUACUGGGCGUAAAGCGCACGCAGGCGGUCUGACAAGUCAGAUGUGAAAUCCCCGGGCUUAACCUGGGAACUGCAUUUGAAACUGUCAGGCUGGAGUCUUGUAGAGGGGGGUGGAAUUCCAGGUGUAGCGGUGAAAUGCGUAGAGAUCUGGAGGAAUACCGGUGGCGAAGGCGGCCCCCUGGACAAAGACUGACGCUCAGGUGCGAAAGCGUGGGGAGCAAACAGGAUUAGAUACCCGGGUAGUCCCUGUCUCUUAUAA
rnacentral:rRNA from 1 species